UUCAAAAUUUGAACUUGCAGACAUUACAAGAAAAGAUGUCUUAUUUAUCUUGACCCAAAUAUGAAUUUUACCAUGGAUGUAGAGUUGUGGCCUAAAAAGAGCCAAAGAAUUCUAUAAACAUUAAAAAGUGCAGAUGUAUUAUUCUGAUGACAUAACUAUUGGAUUUGUGAAGAUUGAUGUUUUCAUAUAUUUUGGAUUAAAUCUUCUGAACUGCAUGGUGAAACAAAAGAAAAUUGUUUUGUGAUAGGACUGAAGAAUGGACACAUUCAAUCAGACUUGGAGCAUCAUACGAACGAAAUGGAAAGUUGUCCACUAGGUCAUCAACCAUCUGCCGAAGCCAAGAAAGGAACACAAGACAAGAUAGACGUCAGAUAGCAAUAAUGA